GAUGAAGAACGUAGCGAAACGCGAUAGUUAAUGUGAAUUGCAGAAUUCAGUGAAUCAUCGAGUCUUUGAACGCACAUUGCGCCCAUUGGUAUUCCAUUGGGCAUGUCUGUUUGAGCGUCAUUACAACAUCUCAGCGUAUAAAGCUGGUUAUGGGCUUCUGUCUUUUGGUAAAAAAACUAAAAAAUAGGCCUAAAAGUUAGUAUGCUCUGCAGGCUGCUUUGCCAAACCAAAACAUAGUAAUUAUUCUUUGUUUCAAGUAAGGCUUUGCACGCUCUGCCUGAAGAAAAAAAAUCUUUUUUAAAAAGGUUUGACCUCAGAUCAGACAAGGAUACCCGCUGAACUUAAGCAUAUCAAUAAGCGGAGGA
rnacentral:misc_RNA from 1 species